rnacentral:rRNA from 1 species
GACGAACGCUGGCGGCGUGCUUAACACAUGCAAGUCGAACGGUAAGGCCCUUCGGGGUACACGAGUGGCGAACGGGUGAGUAACACGUGGGUGAUCUGCCCUGCACUUCGGGAUAAGCCUGGGAAACUGGGUCUAAUACCGGAUAGGACCCUGGGAUGCAUGUCCUGGGGUGGAAAGCUUUUGCGGUGUGGGAUGGGCCCGCGGCCUAUCAGCUUGUUGGUGGGGUGAUGGCCUACCAAGGCGACGACGGGUAGCCGGCCUGAGAGGGUGACCGGCCACACUGGGACUGAGAUACGGCCCAGACUCCUACGGGAGGCAGCAGCGGGGAAUAUUGCACAAUGGGCGCAAGCCUGAUGCAGCGACGCCGCGUGAGGGAUGACGGCCUUCGGGUUGUAAACCUCUUUCAGCACCGACGUAGCGCAAGUGACGGUAGGUGCAGAAGAAGGACCGGCCAACUACGUGCCAGCAGCCGCGGUAA